rnacentral:rRNA from 1 species
UACGUAGGGUGCAAGCGUUGUCCGGAAUUAUUGGGCGUAAAGAGCUCGUAGGCGGUUUGUCGCGUCUGCUGUGAAAACCUAAGGCUCAACCUUGGGCUUGCAGUGGGUACGGGCAGACUAGAGUGCGGUAGGGGUGACUGGAAUUCCUGGUGUAGCGGUGGAAUGCGCAGAUAUCAGGAGGAACACCGGUGGCGAAGGCGGGUCUCUGGGCCAUAACUGACGCUGGAGGAGCGAAAAGCGUGGGGAGCGAACAGG